GCGGCCGUCGUCUAGCCUGGUCUAGGACACCGGCCUCCCGAGCCGGGGGUCGCGGGUUCGAAUCCCGCCGGCCGCACCA
rnacentral:tRNA from 1 species